GAGUUUAGUAAUGCUCGAUCUAUUCAGCUAUGUGAAGAAGAGGCGGAGCAUUAACACCAUUCACAUAAAAGUAACAUUUAACUUUGGUGACACCUUGAGCAAGAGCUCACACCUCUCACAUCAGUGCUCGGUGCAGUUUGACAAGGACCAGCCAGUUUAAUGAGGCACAGCUCUUCUGUUCUUUGUCAUUGUUCUGGGGUUGAAUGCACAGACUCAUACAGAUAUCACAUCACUCCCUGUCACUUCAAGUAUUUCUUCAGAUGAGUCUCACACAUCUCCUCAAACACCUCCUACAACAGCCCCUGCCAUUACAAGCUCUGGAUCUCAAAUAACAGCCACUGCCACUACAAGCUCUCCUUUAAACGAAUCUCAAACGUCAGUUCCUGCAACAACCUCUGCCACUGCAAGCUUUCCUUCAACUGAGUCUCAAACAUCAGCUCCUACAACAGCCACUGCCACUAUAAGCUCUCCUUUAAACGAGUCUCAAACAUCUGCUCCUACAACAACCUCUGCCACUGCAAGCUUUCCUUCAACUGAGUCUCAAACAUCAGCUCCUACAACAGCCACUGCCACUACAAUCUCUCCUUUAAACGAGGCUCAAACAUCAGCUCCUACAACAGCCUCUGCCACUGAAAGCUCUCCUUCAACUGAGUCUCAAACAUCAUCUCCUACAACAGCCAAUGCCACUACAAGCUCUCCUUUAAAUGAUUCUCAAACAUCAGCUCCUACAAUCUCUGUCACUGAAAGCUCUCCUUCAACUGAGUUUCAAACAUCAGCUCCUACAACAGCCAAUGCCACUACAAGCUCUCAUUUAAACAAGUCUCAAACAUCAGCUCCUACAACAGCAACUGCCACUACAAGCUCUCCUUUAAACGAGUCUCAAACAUCAGCUCCUACAACAGCCCCUGCCACAAGCUCUCUUUUAACUGAGUCUCAAACAUCAGCUCCUACAACUCCUUCCACUACAAGCUCUCUUUCAACUGAGUAUCAAACAUCAGCUCCUACAACUCCUACCACUACAAGAUCUACUUCAAAUGAGUCUGAAAUAUCAACUUCUACAUCUACUUCCACUACAUGCUCUCCUUCAACUGAGUAUCAAACAUCAGUUCCUACAAGUUCCCCGAACACAGAGUCUAUCACUUCCACUGGGUAUGUUGGCAUAGUUUUGGGAGUGAUCUGUUUUCUCUUCAUCAUCACUCUCAUUCUUUUCUUCUAUUCAAGAAGACCGACCAAAAACGAAUGUCCAGGCAUCCCCAUACACACCAUUAGGUAAACUUUGUUUUAGAUCUUUAUAGUUGAAUAUUUAUUUUACAAAACUUAAAAUUGUUAAUGCAUU
rnacentral:lncRNA from 12 species